rnacentral:tRNA from 1 species
AGCAGUGGUAAAUGAGAGUAAAAGCAACCCUUCGGGCUCAUAACCCGAAGGUCAGAGGUUCGAAUCCUCUCCCCGCUACCA